rnacentral:rRNA from 2 species
AAAUUGAAGAGUUUGAUCCUGGCUCAGAUUGAACGCUGGCGGCAUGCUUAAUACAUGCAAGUCGAACGGUAACAGGCAUUAGUGAUCCCUUCGGGGUGAUCUUGGCGCUGACGAGUGGCGAACGGGUGAGUAAUGCUUGGGAAUCUGCCCGGUAGUGGGGGACAACCCGAGGAAACUCGGGCUAAUACCGCGUAAGCUCCACGGAGGAAAGCGGGGGAUCUUCGGACCUCGCGCUAUCGGAUGAGCCCAAGUCGGAUUAGCUUGUUGGUGGGGUAAUGGCCUACCAAGGCGACGAUCCGUAGCUGGUCUGAGAGGACGAUCAGCCACACUGGGACUGAGACACGGCCCAGAC